rnacentral:tRNA from 1 species
GGCCUUGUAGCUCACCUGGUAGAGUGUUCACUGUACAAAAGCGUAGACGGCAUCCAUGCGUGGGUUCGAAUCCCACCGAGGCCA